GACGAACGCUGGCGGCGUGCUUAACACAUGCAAGUCGAACGGAAAGGCCCUGCUUUUGUGGGGUGCUCGAGUGGCGAACGGGUGAGUAACACGUGAGUAACCUGCCCUUGAUUUUGGGAUAACUUCAGGAAACUGGGGCUAAUACCGGAUAGGAGCUCCUGCUGCAUGGUGGGGGUUGGAAAGUUUCGGCGGUUGGGGAUGGACUCGCGGCUUAUCAGCUUGUUGGUGGGGUAGUGGCUUACCAAGGCUUUGACGGGUAGCCGGCCUGAGAGGGUGACCGGCCACAUUGGGACUGAGAUACGGCCCAGACUCCUACGGGAGGCAGCAGUGGGGAAUAUUGCACAAUGGGCGGAAGCCUGAUGCAGCAACGCCGCGUGCGGGAUGACGGCCUUCGGGUUGUAAACCGCUUUCGCCUGUGACGAAGCGCGAGUGACGGUAAUGGGUAAAGAAGCACCGGCUAACUACGUG
rnacentral:rRNA from 1 species